UUAGCUCAAUUCCUGAGGCUUUAAAUGCAGUUCAGUGCUAGGGUGCCGACUCGCUGAGCACGCAGGGACGGAGGAACUCAUUCUGAGUUGGUUGCACCGAAGAACUACGGCUCGAGCAGCUUGUUUUCCCCCGCGCCGUCCAAGGGGAGGGAAUAGGGAGUUGGCGUGGCUGGGGUGGGGGGUGAGGGCGGAUCUCUUGGACGGGGAUAAAAGACAAAGUUUGAACCAGCGGUCGGCCUCCUGGGAUUUUACAGUGCGUGCUUCGCUGAGUCUCAGUGGUUGUGAGCACUCGAUUAAAACUGCCUGGCUGGGGCCGGGCGCUGUGGCUCACGGCUGUAAUGCCAGCCUUUGGGAGGCCGAGGCGGGCGGAUCACAAGGUUAAGAGAUCGAGACCAUCCUGGCUAACAAGUUAACAGAUUUAAAAAGGAGUUUCAUUAAUAUAAAUGAUCAAGAUUGUGACUGGCAUUUACAGUGGAAAAGGAAGAAGGGCAAGUGUUUUACUACAAUGGAGUCUGUCUGUCUCCCAGGCUGGAGUACAGUGGCACGAUAUCAGCUCAGUGCAACCUCCAUCUCCCAGGUUCAAGCGAUUCUCCUGCCUCAGGCUCCAGAGUAGGUGAGACUACAGGCAUGCACCACCACUCCCGGCUAAUUUUUUGUGUUUUUAGUAGAGGGGUUUCAUCAGGUUAGCCAGGCUGGUCUCGAACUCCUGAACUCAGGUGAUUCACCUGCCUCGCCCUCUCAAAGUGCUGGGAUUACAGGUGUGAGCCACCUGAGACACUGCUUCCGGCCAGAAUUGGCAUUAAUUUACAAGCUGCUAUUGUCGUUUAGUUUAUAUUUAACGCUUAAAUGAUUAUAUAGACAUUGUCCACAGAAUCUUCACCAUGUCAUUCUUCUGUUCUUACUUGAAAAGUGACAUUUGGCAGAUGGUAGCCAGAUCAUUAAAGCAGUAGGUUUAACAUAGUAGUAUAGAAAUCAGGUAAUAGAUGCAUAAAGUUAAAAUAAUAUUAAAUUGAGGGAGAUUGUUUCACUUAAACCAUUAAAUAACCUUUUUUAAAAUUUGCUGCUAGGUUAGGGUGGUUAUGCAGCUAUGUGUCAUUUCCUGAAAUUAUCUUUCAUUUGUUUUAUGAGUAAAACUGUCUCUAUAAGUUUACCCUAGAAAUCCAUAGGUAUUUUGGGAAAUUGAAUUAUAAGUGGCUAGAUUAACUAACUUUUGUUUUUAGGCAAACUUAGAUUGCUCUAUAAAUCUUAAUCAAAUCAAUCACAUAUGGUAACUGGGGGAGGGGGUUAUUCUGCUUAUUAGUCAAAGAUAUGAUGAAUUUAUUUAUCUUUUAAGACAGGGUCUCGCUCUGUUGCCCAGGCUGGACUGCAGUGACACAACCACGGCUCACUGUGGCCUCGACCUCCCAGGCUCAAGCAAUUCUCUCACCACAGACUCCCAAGUAACUGGGACUACAGGCAUGCACCACCAUGCCCAGCUAAUUUUUAAAGUUUUGUAGAGAUGGGUUUCGCUGUGUUGCCAGGGUUGGUCUCAAACUCCUGGGCUUAAGCAAUCCUCCCAACUCAGCCUCUCAAAGUGCUGGGAUUAUGGGUGUGAGCCACCGUGCCUGGCUAAAAUGAUGAAUUUCUUAUCCACAUCAUCUGUUAAGGCAAAAAGAGGAAACUGGUUAUUCUGUUAUCCUGCUUUUUCUUGGGAAUAUUUAUUUUCAAAUGAUUUGAGUCCUUCAACUCAACAGUCUCAUAACCAAUAAAAGGAAAUGGAGAUUGGUGGGAGAUUAAAACAUAAAGGACAGGAAUAGGGAAAAUAAGGGAGGAAAAGGUCACAGACACAGAAAUGUGGAAGUUGAAUUCAAAUUAAUUUUUAAUUGAGCACCUACUAUGGGCCCCUCAAAAUGGCUGAGAGUACCACUAACUGUUUUAAAUGAAGGAAAAUCCAAAAAUAACAGCAUUUUUUAUUUAUUUCUAAAACAUCAUUCUUAAUCAACCAUUUAAAUAAAGUUUUGUUUUCCACUCAUGUUUUCACAUUAUUCAGCAUGUUACUUGGGUACCCACUAUUACUAGCCACCUUACCAGGCACAGCAGUUGACAGAUGAACAAGGAGCACAGUCUCAUAGGAGCUUUAUCACAUGUGUUCCUAGGCUGAAAGGCCCUUCUUUAUACUUCUUGGUAGGUGGAGUACAGGAAUGUAGAAGUCAGAAACCUAGGUUCAAACUCCAGCUCUAAUAUAUAUAGUUUCUGUGUGAUUUAGGAAAAAUAAUCUCUCUGAACCUCAGUCCCCCAUGUGGAAAAUUAGCAUGAUACUUACCUCAUAAGGCUGUAGGGAUUAAUUAAAAUUAUGUAUGUAGAGCACUUCACGGAGUAUAGAGAGUGCUAAAUAAAUGGAUGCUGAGGUUAUUGACAGCCCUAGGAUGGAUGGAUCAUGGGUUCCCAAAUAUGGGAUGCAAUUUCAAGUUCUUAACACCAAAUAUAACCCUACUUGCUUUAGUUUCCUGGCAUUCAUGCUAUCAUCCCCAGUUUAGUGCACCUCAGGUUAUCAAGGAUGUAGGAGGGAUUCUACAAGCAUAUGUUCCCCCAGAGCUUUUUGGUACCCUGCAAUCCUAGAAGUUGUUGAUGCUAGGAUGUCUGGAGAGCACAGGCCAUUUGUCACUGAGAAGAAUAUGUUACAAAGGAGAUGGGAGUAGUAAGGAAAGUUGAGGAACCGAUCAAAAUAGAUGAAUGUCAAAAAAAAAAAAAGUUUUCACUUUUAAUUCAUGAUAAAAACCCAGUUAAAAUUAGGUAUACCAGAUUUCUUUAUUUUCAACCAUGUGUGCACAUACACUCAGAUUUUUUUCUUUUGGUAGUGAUUUGGCUUUUUGUUAACAACAGUGACACAAGUUUUAUGUUUAAUUUAAAUACUACAACGGUUAAACUGGUUUUGGGUGAGAUUUUCCAGAAAUUUAUUAAAUACGAAGUUCCUUAACUACUGACUUAGAGGAAUAAGUAUUGUUUAACCAGGGAAAAAGUUGUCAACAACCACCAGCUUCUCUUCCUACUUUUUUAGAAUAUAAAAGAUAGUAUCUAAAUUAUUUUUUCCUCUCUCAUCACUUACAAAAAUCUCAAUUAUUUAGGCAUAUCCUUGGCAUGUUCAUAAAAUUGUUCCAUUAGGCAUUCUAUAAUUAUAAUCAUAUUAUUUUUAAUCCCUACUCAUUUCACCUAUAAUUUUCAAAUGUUUGAUUUUUAUUCAAUUCUUAUAUCCUGUUCAUAUAUUUUUUAGCUAUAGUAAAACAUGAUUUUUCAUGU